UGACGUCGCACGCUGGCGGAGCCAAACUGUCAUGGCCGCAAUACGCGAGGCCCCGGGUGGACCAUGUUUAGGAGCACUAAGAUUACUGUUGCGAGGUGUUCAGCGUAGUAAUUGCGGAGAGUGUGCGGGCAUUGUGGGGUGUUUGUGUCUCGGCACUGGGCGGUCCUCUGCGUGUUUGGGUGGCGUGCCGCGGUGAAUUCUAUACGGCUCCUGUUGGCGGGAAGCCUCCCUUUUUUUUCUUUCUGUGUACCUGGUCUGUUCAGUGUUGGUGGCCCUUGGUGAAAGGACUCGCUCUCUGAAGUCUUCGUCUUGUCGGAAGCGAUACUGACUGAUAAUGGUCCUAAGGUCCAAGCAACGAGGCCAUGCGACCCAGUGGACAAUGAACGUACAGGACUGGUCGAGGAUGUAUGUGAUUGACCCUUUGCAAAAAUGGAUAAUAAAUUCAAUGUAAAGUAUAUUAAAGUCUCAUGCCAUAUUCAGUCAACGAACCUGUGUGUCUAUAGUGGAUGGGGGAAAAACACUGUGUCCUGGUAUUACCAGGUGGCGUUGUUGGCAACUUUACCAUCUUGAAGUCCACUUACGAGUAUGCCGCUCUGCCACAGGUCAUUGCCCAGAGCUCAUGACCAUAGGUGAGGGGAGGAACAAAGACUGACUGUAAAUCGACUGCUAAUAUUAUUUUUAUUGUAUCACAUGUCGUUCAUUGUAAACCACAAUAUUCCAAUCCAACUUUAUUUCUACUGCACUUUAAAGCAGACCUAUUGUGUUAUAGUUGUUUUGCUUUACCAGUGACCCUCUCACAGUUGUAUUUGAAGUGAUUCUUGCAUGUUUGAGUCAUUUCUAAUCACUUAUU